rnacentral:rRNA from 1 species
UACGUAGGGGGCAAGCGUUGUCCGGAAUCAUUGGGCGUAAAGCGCGCGUAGGCGGCCCUGUAAGUCCGUUGUGAAAGUCGAAGGCUCAACCUUCGAAAGCCGAUGGAUACUGCAGGGCUAGAGUCCGGAAGAGGCGAGUGGAAUUCCUGGUGUAGCGGUGGAACGCGCAGAUAUCAGGAGGAACACCGAUGGCGAAGGCAGGUCUCUGGGCAUUAACUGACGCUGAGGAGCGAAAGCAUGGGGAGCGAACAGG